GACGAACGCUGGCGGCGUGCCUAAUACAUGCGAGUAGAACGCUGAAGGAGGAGCUUGCUUCUCUGGAUGAGUUGCGAACGGGUGAGUAACGCGUAGGUAACCUGCCUGGUAGCGGGGGAUAACUAUUGGAAACGAUAGCUAAUACCGCAUAAGAGUAGAUGUUGCAUGACAUUUGCUUAAAAGGUGCAAUUGCAUCACUACCAGAUGGACCUGCGUUGUAUUAGCUAGUUGGUGGGGUAACGGCUCACCAAGGCGACGAUACAUAGCCGACCUGAGAGGGUGAUCGGCCACACUGGGACUGAGACACGGCCCAGACUCCUACGGGAGGCAGCAGUAGGGAAUCUUCGGCAAUGGACGGAAGUCUGACCGAGCAACGCCGCGUGAGUGAAGAAGGUUUUCGGAUCGUAAAGCUCUGUUGUAAGAGAAGAACGAGUGUGAGAGUGGAAAGUUCACACUGUGACGGUAUCUUACCAGAAAGGGACGGCUAACUACGU
rnacentral:rRNA from 1 species